rnacentral:rRNA from 1 species
AUUGAACGCUGGCGGCAGGCCUAACACAUGCAAGUCGAGCGAGAGGCGGACGGGUGAGUAAUGUCUGGGAAACUGCCUGAUGGAGGGGGAUAACUACUGGAAACGGUAGAUAAUAACGCAUACCAUCAGAUGUGCCCAGAUGGGAUUAGCUAGUAGGUGGGGUAAUGGCUCACCUAGGCGACGUUUCCUAGCUGGUCUGAGAGGAUGACCAGCAACACUGGGACUGAGACACGGCCCCGACUCCUACGGGAGGCAGCAGUUGGGAAUAUGGGACAAUGGGGGGAACCCUGAUCCAGCCAUGCCGCGUGUGUGAAGAAGGCUUUAUGGUUGUAAAGCACUUUAAGCGAGGAGGCGUUACUCGCAGAAUAAGCACCGGCUAACUCUGUGCCAGCAGCCGCGGUAAUUC